CUCCCACUGCCUCCAUCUUGGAUAAACUCUUUUUCAAGAAUACGGCAUGACGGCUCACAAUCACAUUAUAAUUUUUAGGAAGAUAAAAGUAGUAUCCCAUGAUUUUCUUAGGAUACUUUAUAAAAUGAGCCCUAAAGGACCUAGCCUCUAACUUGUCCGUCUACUAUCGCUUGACAUGGGCCAGACAUCCCCAAAUCUUGAGGUACCCAAGAGUUAGCUUUUUACCAUGUCAUAACUCAUAUGGUGUGG
rnacentral:lncRNA from 1 species